rnacentral:rRNA from 1 species
UACGGGGGGGGCAAGCGUUGUUCGGAUUCACUGGGCGUAAAGGGUGCGUAGGCGGCCGUGCAAGUCUGGCGUGAAAGCCCCGGGCUCAGCCCGGGAAGUGCGCUCGAAACUGCGCGGCUCGAGUGCCGGAGGGGAGAGUGGAAUUCCUGGUGUAGCGGUGAAAUGCGUAGAUAUCAGGAGGAAUACCGGUGGCGAAGGCGGCCCCCUGGACAAAGACUGACGCUCAGGUGCGAAAGCGUGGGGAGCAAACAGG